rnacentral:lncRNA from 1 species
GUUUGUGUAGUGGCUGGGUAUACAUGAGUCCUUGUGCAGGGGAAGUGGGGCAUGGGAAUGGGGUGCAGGGGAAGUAGAGGUGUGACAGAAGUGGAGAGGUGUGAAAUAGCUUCUUGGGAAGGGCAGAGUUCCUCCUUGCUACUGGGAAGUGUCAUUUGGGGUUCUGGCAGUGUUAAGAGCCUCCCCACAACCCCCGCCUCCGAUGGUAAUCCUGAAUUUAAGUGAGACCAGCUGGUGUGGUUUUGUUCAGCUGAGCAUGGGCAGGGCAGGAAGACUGAGAGUUCACCAUUUUCUGUACCGAGAAGCCCCUCUGCCUCCUCAGGAACUCCAUUCCUAUCCUGUCCUCCUUCCUGGCUCGUUCCCAGCAUCCUCAAGGUCUUGUCAGCGCCCUCGUAGGGUGGUCAGGUCCCAUCAGGGUUGUCUGAGCAUGUGUGUGCAGGUAUGUGUAGGUGUGUAUGUGAGUGUGUGAGUGGGUGGAGGCUUGCGUGUUUCAUGGUUUCAGAAGUGUUGAGGAAGAAGAAAAGAAGACGUGUCUUUUCUUGUGACAUCACAAAGGGCAAGAAACUAAGAA